rnacentral:rRNA from 1 species
UACGUAGGGGGCUAGCGUUGUCCGGAAUCAUUGGGCGUAAAGAGCGUGUAGGCGGUCCGGUAAGUCCGCUGUGAAAGUCAGGGGCUCAACCCUUGGAAGCCGGCCGAUACUGUCGGACUAGAGUCCGGAAGAGGCGAGUGGAAUUCCCGGUGUAGCGGUGAAAUGCGCAGAUAUCGGGAGGAACACCAAUGGCGAAGGCAGCUCGCUGGGACGGUACUGACGCUGAGGCGCGAAAGCGUGGGGGGCAAACAGG